rnacentral:rRNA from 1 species
AGUGAACGCUGGCGGUAGGCCUAACACAUGCAAGUCGAACGGCAGCACAGUAAGAGCUUGCUCUUACGGGUGGCGAGUGGCGGACGGGUGAGGAAUACAUCGGAAUCUACUUUUUCGUGGGGGAUAACGUAGGGAAACUUACGCUAAUACCGCAUACGACCUACGGGUGAAAUCAGGGGAUCUUCGGACCUUGCGCGAUUGAAUGAGCCGAUGUCGGAUUAGCUAGUUGGCGGGGUAAAGGCCCACCAAGGCGACGAUCCGUACCUGGUCUGAGAGGAUGAUCAGCCACACUGGAACUGAGACACGGUACAGACUCCUACGGGAAGCAGCAGUGGGGAAAAUUGGACAAUGGGCGCAAGCCUGAUCCAGCCAUACCGCGUGAGUGAAGAAGGCCUUCGGGUUGUAAAGCCCUGUUGUUGGGAAAGAAAAGCAGCAGGUUAAUACCCCGCUGUUCUGACGGUACCCAAAGAAUAAGCACCGGCUAACUUCGUG